rnacentral:lncRNA from 1 species
AAAAUUCCUGAUAGGGCUGGGGCGGGGCCACUUUGAGAUAAAAUUUAUUUUGGAAUAGUGAUUUUGGAAAAAUGUAUCUUAAAAGAUAAUAACAAAUUUUGAAUUUAUGUAUUAUAUUAGAGUAAUGUUAUUUGCAGUCGCUCACUGCGGUAGUCGCCCUACGUGGUAUACACAUGGCAGGUGAUUAUUUGAUGUAUUAAUAUGGU